ACGAUCGAUUUGUACAAGUACCUUCCGGGAAUAUCAUCACCUGUAGAAGAAAAUUGUUAAUUUGAUUUAAAUAUUUUCUAAUAAGGGAUCGAAGAUGAGACUUUAUUGCGCGAGAUUCAAAAGAUUGUACACAUUUUCAAGCGAGAUGAACGAUUACCUUGCAAUUCGAUUUAGAGCGCUAUGUAAUUUUAAAAAAAAAUUAUACCUAAAAAUUAUAUAUAAAAUUAUUAAAAAAAUAUACGUUUAAUUUAAAAAUUAUACGUUACGCUACUGUACUUGAAAAAUUUAUGCGGAUCAUAAUAUCAAGAGUAAUUUUUAGAAAAUAAGCGACUGCAGCGAGUUCAUAAGCUUAUUUUUAAUAAAGGUACUAUUUUUAUGAGGGCUACCUGUGGCCAAUCCUCUUUUGAAGUAGCUCUUUCGAUAAUUUCCUUGAUAGUAUUUUGCCGUGAAUUCGGAUCUUCUCUCCAAACA